GACGAACGCUGGCGGCGCGCCUAACACAUGCAAGUCGAACGAGCGAGAGAGAGCUUGCUUUCUUGAGCGAGUGGCGAACGGGUGAGUAACGCGUGAGGAACCUGCCUCAAAGAGGGGGACAACAGUUGGAAACGACUGCUAAUACCGCAUAAGCCCACGGUGCCGCAUGGCACAGAGGGAAAAGGAGCAAUCCGCUUUGAGAUGGCCUCGCGUCCGAUUAGCUAGUUGGUGAGGUAACGGCCCACCAAGGCGACGAUCGGUAGCCGGACUGAGAGGUUGAACCGCCACAUUGGGACUGAGACACGGCCCAGACUCCUACGGGAGGCAGCAGUGGGGAAUAUUGCACAAUGGGGGAAACCCUGAUGCAGCGACGCCGCGUGGAGGAAGAAGGUCUUCGGAUUGUAAACUCCUGUUGUUGGGGAAGAUAAUGACGGUACCCAACAAGGAAGUGACGGCUAACUACGUG
rnacentral:rRNA from 1 species